CAAUUUCAGAAUAUAAUCCCCCCCCUUAACUGACCUCACCGCCAUGGCUCGACGAUCAGUAGUGAUCCUCCGACCUCCACCACCUCCUAACAAAGCCCCGAUAGGUCACCUGCAUGCCUUGACCCGGCGAUAGAGCUCCACGUGUGGUAUGAUCUCUGGUGACGGAAUCGAACCGCUUGUCACGAACGCCGUCGCGCCUCUUGAAUUCUUGCUCCGACGACACAAAGGCAAUCUUCACUGCUAUGAUUGUCAGAGGCGAGCUCGGGCGAGCAUAAAUGGCUAUAGAUCGGGCGAGCUCGGGGCUCCAAUACCCUGAGCGGUUCUACGUGGCGGCCUCCUGCGCCGGUUUCGACGGAUCUCCUCGCUCCUCCUCUAAAGCCGUUCGCGCCAAGUUCAACUCUGAGUCCGCUCUCAUCCUCUACGCUCUCUAUAAGCAGUGAUAGUGUUUUGGCAACCAUGGUGAAAAGCAAAUUGAUGGAUCCGUUUUACGGCUUGGUAAAUGAAUAUCAAUCAUAGAUAUUGUUGAUUCAGGGAGGCAGUGGUGCACAUUCUGGUACUUUUAAGACUUUCCAGUGUAAGCUGUCAGGUACUCAGCACCUAGAUCUGAAUUUCCGUGGAAUCAAUUACUAUGCAGAGGUAUAUUUAAAUGGGCACAAAAAGGUCCUUCCAAGAGGGAUGUUUCGAAGGCAUUCUCUAGAUGUCACUGAUAUAGUACAUGACAGUGUCGGCAUGGAAGCGGUAGAGAAGCAAAGGAGCACUAGAUCAACAAGAAAAUCAGAAUGAGUGGAGGCGGCAUGGAAGCGGUGUCGUCUAGGCCACAAGAGGCUAAUGGCCAGCACAAGAGGAAUUUGCUAUGGGAACUUUCUUGUGGUCCAACUAGCCCUUGCUGUUGUUCUUGUAUCUAGUAUGAGAGAUUAUACUUUUGUUAGACGACUUUGUUAAUUGUUUUCACUUAGUAUGGUAAUUGAUUUGUUACUGAUGUCUACCUAGCUAGUUGAUCUUUGUGUGAUGUUCAGUAAUGAUAUCUGGGUUUUGCUGAG